GACGAACGCUGGCGGCGUGCUUAACACAUGCAAGUCGAACGGUGAAGCGCCUUCCUUUUUGGUGGGUGUGGAUGAGUGGCGAACGGGUGAGUAACACGUGAGUAACCUGCCCCCUUCUUCUGGAUAACCGCAUGAAAGUGUGGCUAAUACGGGAUAUUCUGGGUCUGUCGCAUGAUGGGUCUGGGAAAGAUAUUGUUUCGGUGGGGGAUGGGCUCGCGGCCUAUCAGCUUGUUGGUGGGGUGAUGGCCUACCAAGGCGGUGACGGGUAGCCGGCCUGAGAGGGUGGACGGUCACACUGGGACUGAGGCACGGCCCAGACUCCUACGGGAGGCAGCAGUUGGGAAUAUUGCACAAUGGGCGCAAGCCUGAUGCAGCGACGCCGCGUGAGGGAUGGAGGCCUUCGGGUUGUGAACCUCUUUCGCCAGUGAAGCAGGCCUGCCUCGUUUGUGGGUGGGUUGACGGUAGCUGGAUAAGAAGCGCCGGCUAACUACGUG
rnacentral:rRNA from 1 species